CUCCCAGUUUGCCUUUUGGCUUAGAUCAAGUGUAGUAUCUGUUCUUUUCAGUUUAAUCUCUGAAAUGCCAUUACGAUGGCUUUCCGAUUAUGCUUAUUUUUGUCACUAGUGGAUGGCUCACUGGGCUUGCUCAUAGUCAUCCUCACAGUGUCACCUCUAUAGCACUAUCGGAGGUUGACGCGAAUCUUU
rnacentral:snRNA from 1 species